UACAGAGGUCUCAAGCGUUGUUCGGAUUCAUUGGGCGUAAAGGGUGCGUAGGCGGCGCGGUAAGUCGGGUGUGAAAUCUCGGAGCUUAACUCCGAAACUGCAUUCGAUACUGCCGUGCUUGAGGACUGGAGAGGAGACUGGAAUUUACGGUGUAGCGGUGAAAUGCGUAGAUAUCGUAAGGAAGACCAGUGGCGAAGGCGGGUCUCUGGACAGUUCCUGACGCUUAGGCACGAAGGCCAGGGGAGCAAACGGG
rnacentral:rRNA from 1 species